UCUCCAUUCCGGCAUCCACUGAGGCACCAUCCAACCUUGCAGUCAUGAAGAUCUUUUCCUUUCUCUCGGCAUUUCUCUUCUUCAUCGUGCUGGCUGCUCCAGCAUUUGCUCAGGGGCCAAAGACCACGGCUGAGUGUGGCAGGGAAGGUGGAAUAUGCUCCUAUCGGAGUUGCCCACCAGGAAUGAAGAAUUUUGGAAAGUGUGAUCUUAAAAAUUUUCUUUGCUGCAGAUAACCAGGUGAUGCUCAAGUGCUGGCUACCCGCAGCGGCUCCCCAGGGUCCAUUGACGGGAGGUGCAUUCAAGGACCCAGCUCAUCCUUUGUCAGAAACCCUCUUCCUGAAUUAUAACCCAGAUGAUAUCAUCCGUAUCAACCAGCCUUUUUGUCCUCGCUAACAUGAACAAAAAAUAAAGCAUUUCCGAGU